GACGAACGCUGGCGGCGUGCCUAACACAUGCAAGUCGAACGGAACUUACCGAAUGAAGUUUUCGGAUGGAUUUUGAUAAGUUUAGUGGCGGACGGGUGAGUAACGCGUGAGUAACCUGCCUUCAAGAGGGGAAUAACGUUCUGAAAAGAACGCUAAUACCGCAUAACAUACGGAUGUCGCAUGGCAACCGUAUCAAAGAUUUAUCGCUCGAGGAUGGACUCGCGUCCGAUUAGCUUGUUGGCGGGGUAACGGCCCACCAAGGCGACGAUCGGUAGCCGGACUGAGAGGUUGAACGGCCACAUUGGGACUGAGACACGGCCCAG
rnacentral:rRNA from 1 species